rnacentral:misc_RNA from 1 species
UUGUUAAACAAUUUCGGUUAAAUAGAAUGUUGUAAAAAAAAAUAAAAAAAGAAAUCUAAAAAAAAUAGAGAGACAAAAUUAAAAUUGAAUUAAGACUAAUUAAUUUGUUGAGAUUUUAAGUAAUGAAGUUACUAUGAAAAUUAAUUAUCUUUAUUUGCUUAUCCUGUAUAUGAGUAUCAGCUUGAAACUAUCUGCAUUUUUUGUGUUCCCUCCUCCAUCAUUUGCUGAGGAGCCUCAAGACACAUGGUUCUUUAACUUAUCAUCAUUCUCAUCAUCUAAUCUUAGUUGUGUUGCAAACCAACAUCCAGUGUCAGUUUCUUAUCAGUGGAUGUAUGAAACAGAAAUUGUGUCAAAGUUUACAAAUUUUACUCAUAUACAAGUAGAGAAGUAUGGUGCAUAUGUUUGCCUUCUCUCAAACUCUUUUGGAACAGUAAGAAGUCGCACAGCACUAGUUAAAAAACCUGUGAUUAAAUAUCAAGAAAUUACUGAUUUUCAUAAAAACAUUAUAAAUGGAGGUUAUUUAUUUUUACCGUCUCUGGAAGUUUAUGAGAGCGUUCCACAAAUUACUGAAGUAUUUUGGAGAAAAAAAACUAAAUUUCAGGAGUGGGAAAUUCUUCAAAAAGAUUUAUACACAAAAAAUGGCAGUUUGCUUAUUCGAAGCAUUAAUUCCGAAGAACACAAUACAAGUUUUAGUUAUAUUAUCAAACAAAAGAACGAUUACUUGAUAGUUGGCUACACUGUUACUGUUAACAUAACAAAUAAUACGAUUUCACCUAACUUGAGACAAUGUGAAAACAGAAGUCUUGUUUUGGUAGAACUAUCACCUCAUGUUAUAGUCUAUGCUGGAGAAAACAUAUCGAUGGAGUGUUUAGCAUUUUUUUAUUAUUGCAGUUUUCCUCCAGCUAUUUCUUGGUAUUAUCCAAAUGUUACAAAUGAAAUUUCAAAAUUCAAACCUAUUUAUAAUAUUUUCAACAGCAGACUUUCAGAUAGUGGUAACUAUACUUGUAAAGUAAGAGCAUCCAACUAUAAACUUCAAACAAUUGUAACUGUUUUAGUAAAGCCAAGUUUAUAUAUCACUUCUGAAUCUGUAACAGUUUAUAUUAAAAAUGUUGCUCCAAUCUCGUUGGAUAUAAUUGCAUUAACAUCUAGUGUUGGUCUGAAAAGAUUUAAAUGGUAUUUUAAUGGAAAACCUUUGCCUGUAAAUUCAAAAUACAGUUAUACUUCAGAUUACAAAUUAAUAGUUAAUCAACCAGUUGAAUCUGAUUCUGGAAUUUAUCAAGUGUUUUAUUUUUUUGAUGGAUUUGAAUUAAAGCAUGCCUUUAAUGCAUUUUUUGUUAACGUGAUUCCUUAUCCUCCAUCUUUUGCUGAGGAGCCUCAAGAUACAUGGUUUUUUAACUCACCAUCAAUCUCAUCAGCUAAUCUUAGUUGCGUUGCAAACCAUCAUCCAGUUACAGUUUCUGUUCAGUGGAUGUAUGAAACAGAAAUUGUGUCAAAGUUUACAAAUAUAACUCAUAUACAAGUAGAUAAGUAUGGUGCAUAUACUUGUUUUCUUUCAAAUUCUUUUGGAAUAGUAAGAAGUCGUACAGCACAAGUUAAAAAACCUGUUAUUGAUUAUCAAGAAAUUAAAGAUUUUCAUACAAACAUUAUAAAUGGAAGUUAUUUGUUUUUACCGUCUCUAAAAGUUUAUGAGAGCGUUCCACCAGUUGCUGAAAUAUUUUGGAGAAAAAAAACUAAAUCUGAGAAGUGGGAAGUUCUUCAAAAAGAUUUAUACACAAAAAAUGGUAGUUUGCUUAUUCGAAGCGUUAAUUCUGAAGAACACAACACAAGUUUUAGUUAUAUUAUCAAACAAAAAAACAAUCACUCAGUAGUUGGCUACACUGUUACUGUUAACAUAACAAAGGUUUCACUUAACUCGAAACAAUGUGUAAACAGUGGUCUUACUUUAAUAGAAGUUCCUGCUCAUGUUACAGCCUAUGCUGGAGAAAAUAUAUCUAUUGAGUGUUUAGGAGUUUAUUAUUAUUGCAGUUUUCCUCCAGCUAUUACUUGGUAUUAUAAUUAUUCAAGUGUUAAAAAUGAAAUUCCAAAAGCCAAAGCUGUUCUUCAUAUUUCUAACAGUAGACUUUCAGAUAGUGGUAACUAUAUUUGUGAAGUAAGAGGAUUUGACUAUAAACUUCAAACAAAUGUAACUGUUUUAGAAAAACCAAGUCUAAAUAUCACAUCUGAAUCUGUAACAAUUUAUAUCAAAGAUGGUGCUCCAAUCACAUUGGAUAAAAUAGCAUUAACAUCAACUGUUGGUCUGAAAAGUUUUGAAUGGUAUUUUAAUGGAAAAAAUUUGUCUAGAAACUCAAAAUACAAUUAUACUUCAGAUUACAAACUAAUAGUUAAUCAACCUGUUGAAUCUGAUUCUGGAAUUUAUCAAGUGUUUUAUUUUUUUGAUGGAUUUGAAUUAAAGCAUUCUUUCAAUGCAUUUUUUGUUAACGAUAAAUUUGUUACAGUCACCAAGUUGCUUACUUCAACAUUAACUUUAUCUAGUAGAGUUUUAACAACAAAUUUUAAAACCUUAUCCCAUUCUACUGAUGCUGUAAAAGUCUCUAUUUUUUCAUUGAACAAAUCUACUUGUCUUAUUAUUUCAUCUGGUCAUUCGGUAGCAAUCAAUUCUAGUCAAUCAUUAGCAAUUAUAUUACCAUCUCUUGUUCCUAAAAAAGAGCUUAUAAAAAAAGGUUCAUUAAUAAUUAGCCUGUCUAUUGGAAGUGCUGUUUUGGUUAUUGGUUUGUUGAUUGGCCUAAUUAUGAGAAAACGUUGCUUUAUAAAAAAAGGUACUAAAAAGAAAGAAAUUAAAGGAAUGGAAAUGUCAGAGCAGUUAAUUAUUAAGAAUUCAAUCACGUGGAACCUGCUAAAUAUCUACUAAAUAGAAAAGAAAGUAUUUUGUGCAACUACAUCAGAAGCAGAAUGUGGUUAUGUAGCUAUACAACCAAAACCCCAAAGUUUGUAUGAAUCUUAUGUAUUGAGAAAUAGUUCAAUC